rnacentral:rRNA from 1 species
UUUAUCUGGUAAAGCGAAUGAUUAGAGGCCUUGGGGCCGAAACGAUCUCAACCUAUUCUCAAACUUUAAAUGGGUAAGAAGCCCGGCUCGCUGGCUUGGAGCCGGGCGUGGAAUGCGAGCCGCCUAGUGGGCCACUUUUGGUAAGCAGAACUGGCGCUGCGGGAUGAACCGAACGCCGGGUUAAGGCGCCCGAUGCCGACGCUCAUCAGACCCCAGAAAAGGUGUUGGUCGAUAUAGACAGCAGGACGGUGGCCAUG